rnacentral:rRNA from 1 species
GACGAACGCUGGCGGCGUGCUUAACACAUGCAAGUCGAACGGAAAGACCCUGCUUUUGUUGCGUGCUCGAGUGGCGAACGGGUGAGUAACACGUGAGUAACCUGCCCUUGACUUAGUGAUAACUUUAGGAAACUGGGGCUCAUACCGCAUAGGAGCUCUUGCUGCAUGGUGGUGGUUGGAGAGUUUCGGCGGUUGGGGAUGGACUCGCGGCUUAUCCGCUUGUUGGUGUGGUAGUGACUUACCAAGGCUUUGACGGGUAGCCGGCCUGGGAGGGUGACCGGCCACAAGGGGACUGAGAGACGGCCCAGACGCGUACGGGAGGCAACAGUGGGGAAUAUUGCGCAGUGGGCGGAAGCCUGAUGCAGCAACGCCGCGUGCGGGAUGACGGCCUUCGGGUUGUAAACCGCUUUCGCCUGUGACGAAGCGUGAGUGACGGUAAUGGGUAAAGAAGCACCGACUAACUACGUG